GCUGAACUGCAAACUUUCAUGUUCAGAGCAUUGCAUUGUCUAAGGGAGUAGGGUGAGUAAGCAGCGCCUACCAGGCUAAGCUUUCGUCAAAAAGGCGUCACUACUUCCUUUUCGGUGCCUUUCCAAAUUCGUACUUCAGCAAAACUUUUGGGGUUUCAGAUGAUCAGCCACACUGGGACUGAGACACGGCCCGAACUCCCACGGGGGGCAGCAGUGGGGAAUCUUGGACAAUGGGCGAAAGCCCAAUCUAGC
rnacentral:ncRNA from 1 species